rnacentral:lncRNA from 1 species
UUUUAUUGUGGCAAAGUUACUACUAAUAUAGUAAAGGUGCAUUUAUCUGACACAAACACAAUGGUGACACUGACACGCGUGUGAAGUCUGAACACAGAAAAAAAUAAAAAGAAUACUCGGUGUAGUAGUAUUAAUAUGAGACCUGCACAAAUGGGACAACACAUCAGAAGCAUCGAUGGAGAUGAACACGGAUCGACGGCGGCGGCGGCGGCUCGAAGUUCAAAGGAGAGGGUUGAGCUCCGGGAAGGAGGAAACAAGAGGACACGUGUCGGGUAACGAAGGGGGACGCGGCUGUUACCUUGGGGAAUUCCUCUUUCACUGAUCUGAUAGCGAAACGUGUCGGUGACGUUAGAAUCUGAAUCGCAAUAUCUGGGGUCUCAAUCACUUCAUCCACGAGUGGUGCUGCUUCCACCACCCUUCGAUCAUAUCCACUCUGCAGACAGAAUCUUCCCCCUCACCGUCUGAUCCAUCUACAGGAGGUUCUUGCUUCUUACAUCUUUCUCAUUCUCAACACUACUGUACCCAAGGUCCAAGAAGAAAGAAUAAAUAUAAUAUAAUUAUGCACACACUUUCUUUUUCAAUAUUGUAUUUUUUUAAGGGAAUAUAUUUAUUAGAAUUUCAUAAGAUUUUAAUUUUUUUUAAAAAUAUUGAGAUAUUAAAUCAAAAUUUUCAAAUAAUAAAAAUAAAUACUGUAACAUUCAAUCAAAAUUAUUAGAAUUUAUAAAAAAAUUUCAAGAAAAUUUAUUGGUAUUUAGUUAAGAUUUUUGGUAACUUAAAAAAAGUCUCAUAAUAUUAAAAAAUAUACAAAUUUCGAUGAAUUAUUUCUUAUAAUAAAUUAAUGAAUUUUAUGGAAUUUUUUAUGAAAAAAAUAAAAAUUAAACAAUUUCAUCAAAACUUUUAAAAUUUAAUGAGAUUUUCAUUCCUUCUUACAAAUCGAUAUAUUUUUAUUUUUUUUAUCUUAUACAAUCUUCUGUUUCUUUAUUGAAAGUGCUAUAUAUUCAUAUUUUUUUUCCACUUUUGAUCAAUUAUCAAUAUAUUUGAAACAUGUGAUAUGAGAGAUUUAUCCAUUUUUUGAAUUUGGAAAACAUCCAGAGACGUGUAUAUACAUGUAAACGAACGUGAAUAUAUAUAAACAUGAAAAAUAUAUGAUUUUAAUAAAGAUGAGAAGUUGAUUCAUAUAUAAGUGAAUAAAUAUAUAAAUGAGAUUUGAAAUUAUUGUUGGACAUGUUUUUUGUUUGGUGGAGUUGUUAUUGUUUGAAUGACUACAUUAUUUAUAUGACUAGUAGACAUUGUAGUAUAUAAUUUUUAUAUAAUUAACAUGAUUGAUGAUUGAAGGGGAAUUAACUUAUUGUACUUAUAAAUAUGUUAGGAGAAAUUAAUUUAUUAUGUAAUAGGUUUAGGAUUCUCUCUAUAAGAUAAGUUUUAUUUAAAGUAUUAAAUACCCAAAUUUCAUGAAUCUUUAUUAAUAAUUUUGAAUAUUUUUAAAAAAUUGAUGGAUUUAAAAUCUUGAAAAUCCAUAAUAUCCUUCCUAAUCUUAUGGAUUUAUAUUUUGUAAAUUCAUUAAUAUCUGAAUUACAAAAUUCUAAUUAUAAAAUUGUUUAAAAAAAUCUUAAAAGUUAUUAUAUCCAAAAUAUUCUUUUAAAAUCUUAAUCACAUACACUUCCUUGAGUCUUCAUAUAAAAAGAUCAUUUUAACAUUUUAAGUAAAAAAUAUUAUAUAAAAAAUUAUUUUUGGGACCUUUUUAAUGAUUAUAUAAAAUCUAUACUUUUUUAAAAAUUUAAAAUCAAAUUUAUCAAGAUAAAAAUAUAAAAACUUUAGCAACAUUUGAACAAAAAUAUAAAAAUUCAAAAAAUAUUUUUAUUAAUAUUUAGAAUGAUAUUUUAAUAUAUAUAUAUAUAUAUAUAUAUAUAUAUAUAUAUAUAUAUAUAUAUAUACACACACAUACAUAUAUAUAUAUAUAUAUAUAUAUAUAUAUAUAUAUAUAUAUUGUAAAAUAUGUUUUUAUUGAAGUUUUAUAUUUUGUUAUUCUAGAGUUUAAAUACAUAUAACUAUUAAAUUUAUUUUAGGUUCUUAAUAAUUUUUUGAAUUUUCUGUUUAUUUUAUUAGAUAUCAAAUAUAUUAAAAUUUUAUUUUGGAUUCUUAUAAAGCGAUGAUGGGUCAGUUAAAAAAAAAAAAUCAACUGUUAAGAAACUAUCACUGUUUGUUUUGAAUUUGAAAUGACUGAUUGCUUUUAAAUAAAUAUUAAGGAUUUUUUAGUAGUUAAAAAUACAUUUUUAAUUUUUUAUGAAUAUUUUAUUUAUUCCUUAACUGAGGAAAGAGAUUCGAAAUAAAUUUUUUAAUAUAUAUCUAACAAAAAAAAUUAAAAAAAUCCAAAAUAAAUUAAAAAAAAUUAUAAAGGUAUAAAACAUAUUUAAGUUUAUAUAUAAUGUUGAAAUUAAUAUGUCACUUUAAUAAAUUUAGUUAGCUUAAUAUUAUCCCUAAUGUAUUAGGUCAUAAUGGGAUCGUGUUUAAGUUCAAGUGAAUAACCCUAAAUUCUUAUUUACAUCAAACACACUGGUGGAGUUUGCCGUAUGAGCCCAAGUGAGAGGCUUGGAGGAGGAAUCUAAACAAUUCCAAAUUUUUCCUUUGGGAAGCUCCGUGGUCAAGUUCAUAAGUUAUGGUCAUAUUUUAUUUAUCAAGAUAAAAAUUACCAUUAUAAUACAUAAGUCAAGUGAAAGAAUGUUCAAAUAUUAAAUUGAAUGUGACUCAUACAUCGAUAAUAUUUAGAGUAUAUAGAUUUUAUGUAACUGUUACAAGUUUUGAAUUAUUAAUUUUUAAUUUGUAUUAUUGAAUCUUAAUGGAGUAAUCAAUACAAGGGACAAUUAAAUUGUUGUAAUUCAUGAGAGAUCUCUUAACUUGCCUGUAAAAUGUUUGUGAUAUUCCAUUGAUUCACAUAUUUCAAAAGGCAAAGACCAUUCUUUGUUUUCUUUCCUUGCUUAGUUGUAAGAGAUUAUGUGAUAAAGAAUUUGAUAGCAAUGAUUAUAAGAAGUAUGUUUAAUUUUGCUUACCGAAUAGUUUUUUUUUUAUUCAGCGCUUACUAAAUAGUUUACUCUUGUUUAUAUUAUGAUCUAAUGUUUUAAAUUUCUUAACAGGCCAAAUGCCCAAUGCAAGGAAUCAAUAUAGAAAUUCUCUUCACGAAAAAGUGUGAGAAAUAGUUACACACUACUCCUUAAUCCUUAGUCCUUAACAAGCAAAAACUGUAAGUUCCUAUAAUGAUAGGGCCAUAUUUAUGGAAAACGAUGGAUACAAUUCGACUAAUUCCGAAUCUUUAGCCAGAAUUCCAUGGAUUAGAAAUGGC